rnacentral:tRNA from 1 species
AGGGAAUUAGCUCAAGUGGUAGAGCGCUUAGCAUGCCAGAGGGAAGCAGGAUCGAUACCUGCAUUCUCCA